GGAUUAGCGGCGAACGGGUGAGGAACACGUGAAGAAUCUGCCUUCAACUCUGGGAUAACUCCGGGAAACCGGGGCUAAUACCGGAUAUGAGCCUUGAUCGCAUGAUCGGGGCUGGAAAGUUUUUCGGUUGAAGAUGACUUCGCGGCCUAUCAGCUUGUUGGUGAGGUAAUGGCUCACCAAGGCGACGACGGGUAGCCGGCCUGAGAGGGCGACCGGCCACACUGGGACUGAGACACGGCCCAGACUCCUACGGGAGGCAGCAGUGGGGAAUAUUGGGCAAUGGACGAAAGUCUGACCCAGCGACGCCGCGUGCGGGAUGAAGGCCUUCGGGUUGUAAACCGCUUUCAGCAGGGAAUAAGCGCAAGUGAAGGUACCUGCAGAAGAAGCACCGGCUAACUAUGUGCCAGCAGCCGCGGUAAUACAUAGGGUGCAAGCGUUGUCCGGAAUUAUUGGGCGUAAAGAGCUCGUAGGUGGUUUGUUACGUCGGUUGUGAAAUUCA
rnacentral:rRNA from 1 species